rnacentral:tRNA from 1 species
GGGCUCGUGGUCUAGGGGUUAUGACGCCACGCUUACAACGUGGAGGUCGGCGGUUCAAAUCCGCCCGAGCCCA